CUGAAUUUGAGAGCAUACCAAACUUGCUUGUCAGUGGGCAAAUAUUUUAACUGCGACUACAGCUUAUUCUGGCUGCCACUCAUUCCUGGUUGCUCUCUCUCUUUAUGGGGCUUCCCACAGCUUGUCCCAUUGUCCUGGAGGUACCCACAGCCCACAUCCAUCCAGCCUGGAGAGACUCACUGACUCCUAAGCAGCCUCUGGUGCAGAGAACCUGAGGAGCUUUGUCAAGCCAGUUUUUGUGCUGGAGAAGUGCAGAACAGUAACUUGGAGUGCCUGAGGAAAUCCAUAACCAAAAAGUUGAGUGCAUUUGAAAUGAGGCACCUUCAAGGAUAGAGAGCACACGAGCAGGAGAUUCCAGCAUCAGCCUGGUUCUCACUUCAGAUGACAAAUGUGACUUCAACUCUUGACUGACAAAUACAGGAGGGAGAAAUCAGGAACUCUGCAAUGUCUUGGACACAAAGCAGUGAAGUCUCUGCAAGCAAUGAACCCUCAGAGGAAGCCAACACUGCUGGCCAGGAUCUGAGAGCAUCCCUCAGUCUGGAAUGGCACAGAGCUGAGGAUGGUGCCUUCUCUGGGGUUGGAACCAAGAGAGUUGGUGGUACCUGGUCAUGGUGCUGCAAGACAUACACGAAGUCCUUUCCCCUUUGGAGAUGACAUGGAUGGGAAAUGGCUCAUUGUAGCAACAGGAGACAACAACAAUUGCAUCACAGUAAAGCAAACAUCAAAGCACAGUCCACGCCAAAGAGCUGGGGGAAAAAUUCAUAUGUGACACUCUGACGUGUUGAAGUCCAGCUUGGGAGGGUUUUGGCAACACAGAAAUGAAGAGCAAGCAGUUGCCAUUUCCCAGACCUUGUUUGUCUUGGUGUUUGUGUGAAGCAGCCUGGGCUGAGGACACGAUGGACCUGCAGCCUUUCACAUCCCUGUGCCUGUGACAGCCCUCCAGGGCCACUGCACAGCCAGGCUGCACUGGAUGGAAUUGUUUAAAAAAGCAGCUCUGAAAGACUGAACCAAACUGGAACCUGCCUUUCACUAAGCACUAAUAACCUGUCUGACAGCCCACGUAUAAAAAUUACAGUGCUUAUUGUUGAUGUUUAUUUUCACUUUAAUAAGGAGUUGCUGUAGGUAGCCAGCCUGAUUAAGUAUUUUAACAACUCCCUUCUGAAGGUAAUUAAGUUCUGCAGUGAAAUGUAAGGAAUUUGGCAUCAAAAAACCAUUAAGGCAGAUAUUUUAAAUGAAUAAACAAACAUAACUCUUUCCA
rnacentral:lncRNA from 1 species